CCUGCCCCUAGAGGCAUUGCAGGUGUGGCUGCUGUGUCGCAUGUCCAUCAGUAGGUGGCAGAGUAGGUGAAGAGAGGCUAUGUCUACACUUUGACCCAUGAACACCUGAAUAAUUAGUAGAGUUUAACACU
ensembl:snoRNA Gm23432 predicted gene, 23432